rnacentral:rRNA from 1 species
CCUACGGGUGGCAGCAGUGGGGAAUAUUGGACAAUGGGCGAAAGCCUGAUCCAGCCAUGCCGCGUGUGUGAAGAAGGCCUUCGGGUUGUAAAGCACUUUCAGUGGGGAAGAAAGCCUUGGGGCUAAUACCCUCGAGGAAGGACAUCACCCACAGAAGAAGCACCGGCUAACUCCGUGCCAGCAGCCGCGGUAAUACGGAGGGUGCGAGCGUUAAUCGGAAUUACUGGGCGGAAAGCGCGCGUAGGCGGUCUGAUAAGCCGGUUGUGAAAGCCCCGGGCUCAACCUGGGAACGGCAUCCGGAACUGUCAGGCUAGAGUGCAGGAGAGGAAGGUAGAAUUCCCGGUGUAGCGGUGAAAUGCGUAGAGAUCGGGAGGAAUACCAGUGGCGAAGGCGGCCUUCUGGACUGACACUGACGCUGAGGUGCGAAAGCGUGGGUAGCAAACAGGAUUAGAUACCCCAGUAGUC